GCGGAUGAUAAAUAGAAACUUCUGGUCCUUCAGAAAAAACGACUCUUCUCCUUCAACUUUCCUCGAGCAAACCCUUGGCGCAAAUUUGAACUGGAAGGGCGAUCAAAUCUCUGGUGCCAUGGCAAAAAGAAAAGUUCAGUUCAGAAGAAUCGAAAGAAGAAAUGAAGAAGUAACCUUAAAAAGAGAGUAUGGUAUCACUUUAAUAUAAAGAAUAAAGAAGAUGAAGUGCAAUCAUCCACACUUUAGUUGGGAGAGAAGCUCAAAGGUCUCGUCAGUGGUAAAGCCUGCAGCUUUCGGUGAUUGGCUGUUCACUUCAAAUUUGGUGUGAGAACUAAGCGACGCAUGCAUGGCUCAUUCGCUGGAGAAGAUACGGUGAAGUGUUCGAUCAGGUUGACGAGGAGUCGUCUUGGGAACUGUUUUGUGCUGGACUUAAAUAUCUCUUUCGGUCAAUUGCCCUUUGUGUUUCCUCUUGCCACAGCAGAGCUCCUAUGCCGUACUUUGUUUCAUAAUAUUUUAUGUGAUCUCUACAGGAAAUUGAUUCAAAGACAUUUGCAGCAUUGGAUUACUUUUAGGGAAUUUUUAUUCUGUGCGGAGUCUGGACGUCGUCCACAGACCAACAAAAAUGCACAACGUCACUCCAAAAGUGUAUCGCGUUCGGUACUGCUGCUCGGUACCAAGCGGGUACCGGACGGUUCUCCGGUCAUGUGUCCGCAUAAAAUAAUCUCGCCUUUGGGAGACCAACACUUUGCCUAAAAAAGGAUGGCCCUUUGUAACUAUUUUGUGCUUCUUGACAUGUAUUUGAUGACGUUCAUUUUAUAGAAUUUCUGCGCGCAGCUCACACAA